GACGAACGCUGGCGGCGUGCUUAACACAUGCAAGUCGAACGGAAAGGCCCUGCUUUUGUGGGGUGCUCGAGUGGCGAACGGGUGAGUAACACGUGAGUAACCUGCCCUUUACUUUGGGAUAACUUCAGGAAACUGGGGCUAAUACCGGAUAGGAGCUCCUGCUGCAUGGUGGGGGUUGGAAAGUUUCGGCGGUUGGGGAUGGACUCGCGGCUUAUCAGCUUGUUGGUGGGGUAGUGGCUUACCAAGGCUUUGACGGGUAGCCGGCCUGAGAGGGUGACCGGCCACAUUGGGACUGAGAUACGGCCCAGACUCCUACGGGAGGCAGCAGUGGGGAAUAUUGCACAAUGGGCGGAAGCCUGAUGCAGCAACGCCGCGUGCGGGAUGACGGCCUUCGGGUUGUAAACCGCUUCCGCCUGUGACGAAGCGUGAGUGACGGUAAUGGGUAAAGAAGCACCGGCUAACUACGUG
rnacentral:rRNA from 1 species